UACGUAGGGUGCGAGCGUUAAUCGGAAUUACUGGGCGUAAAGCGUGCGCAGGCGGUUUUGUAAGUCAGAUGUGAAAUCCCCGGGCUUAACCUGGGAACUGCGUUUGAAACUACAAGGCUAGAGUGUGGCAGAGGGGGGUGGAAUUCCACGUGUAGCAGUGAAAUGCGUAGAUAUCAGGAGGAACACCGAUGGCGAAGGCAGGCCUCUGGGCUGACACUGACGCUCAUGCACGAAAGCGUGGGGAGCAAACAGG
rnacentral:rRNA from 1 species